UCCAAUGAGGAUGAGGACGAGGUUAUUAAACCAGACACGAAGUCUCAUCGGGGUCAAGCUGAUGGAAAUGGGUACUAUGAUAAGUUGAAAGAAGAGGUAGAGCUUCAGAAACAAGUGAAUUUAGCUGCACUAAAUGAACUUGAUGAGGCCACUCGGAUAGAGAUAGAAGGCUUCAGAACAGGAACUUAUCUUAGACUAGAAG
rnacentral:misc_RNA from 1 species